GCUGUCACUAUAGGAUGGGCCCGCGGCGCAUUAGCUAGUUGGUGAGGUAACGGCUCACCAAGGCGACGAUGCGUAGCCGACCUGAGAGGGUGAUCGGCCACACUGGGACUGAGACACGGCCCAGACUCCUACGGGAGGCAGCAGUAGGGAAUCUUUCCGACAAUGGAGCGGAAAGUCCGGAUGGAGGCAACGCCCGCCGGGAGUGAAGAAGGGCUUUUCGG
rnacentral:rRNA from 1 species